CAGAACUCGGAACCCUGGAGUCACUGGGCACCACAGUCCAGCGACGGCUGCCUAACAGUCACUUGGCUGGAGAGAGUCAGCAGCGAUCAUGCUGUGCUGCUUUCCCAGGCCUCGAGGCUGCAGCAACAGGACCCCACGCAGGGAAAGCACUUGGGUGCAAGUGAGAGGUUGGAUGGCUGAGUCCCUGUGCUUUAGGCCACUCACCAGGAACUGGUUGGCCAUCAGGGGCAGCACAGGGCGGGUCUCACCAGACCCAGAGACCUGGGGACCUGAGAUGAGCGGGAGCCCAGGGCAGAUCUCCCUGGACCUGGACACCAGAGACUCGGGGCCACCGAGUCCAGGACAGGUCCAGUUAGGCCCGGCCACCACUAUUGUGGCCCAAUGGGAGGAGAGCCGAGCAGAGGACUGCAUGGUGAGGAUGGCACUGGCAGGCAUGCAGCACCCCUCAAGGGAGCCCCCAGAAUGGGACUUCCUGGACAGCCACCCCAUCCACAUGGACUCCCUCCUGUACCCCUCUGGAGCCUGCAUUCCCGCCCUGCAGGAGGGGAUGGUACUAAGGAGAAUCCACCAGCUGAACUCUGGCCCAGCUGGAGCAAGCUGAGCCCACUGAGGCACAGCCCACGGGACCAGCUCCAGCCCCAGCUGAAGUCCCAUAUGUGGAGACUGAGCCAGCUCCACCUGCAGCUUUCUGCCCAGCGCUGGGACCACAGCCAGAGUCCGUGGCAGCCCCUUCACCUGCUGCAGUGCUGGGGCACCCGGUGGUUGCACGGUGGUCGGUGUCACCUCCUGAGCUCCGCCUGGGGCCAGCUCCUGGCCCCCUCCCACUGUUCCCCUCACGCUGGCUCAUGUUCUGGUAUUUACAAUUCCCCUUAUUUCUUGGAUUUAUA
ensembl:lncRNA